GGAUAACCUGCCUCAAGGCUGGGGAUAACAUUUGGAAACAGAUGCUAAUACCGAAUAAAACUUAGUAUCGCAUGAUAUCAAGUUAAAAGGCGCUACGGCGUCACCUAGAGAUGGAUCCGCGGUGCAUUAGUUAGUUGGUGGGGUAAAGGCUUACCAAGACGAUGAUGCAUAGCCGAGUUGAGAGACUGAUCGGCCACAUUGGGACUGAGACACGGCCCAAACUCCUACGGGAGGCUGCAGUAGGGAAUCUUCCACAAUGGGCGCAAGCCUGAUGGAGCAACGCCGCGUGUGUGAUGAAGGCUUUCGGGUCGUAAAGCACUGUUGUAUGGGAAGAAAUGCUAAAAUAGGGAAUGAUUUUAGUUUGACGGUACCAUACCAGAAAGGGACGGCUAAAUACGUGCCAGCAGCCGCGGUAAUACGUAUGUCCCGAGCGUUAUCCGGAUUUAUUGGGCGUAAAGCGAGCGCAGACGGUUGAUUAAGUCUGAUGUGAAAGCCCGGAGCUCAACUCCGGAAUGGCAUUGGAAACUGGUUAACUUGAGUGUUGUAGAGGUAAGUGGAACUCCAUGUGUAGCGGUGGAAUGCGUAGAUAUAUGGAAGAACACCAGUGGCGAAGGCGGCUUACUGGACAACAACUGACGUUGAGGCUCGAAAGUGUGGGUAGCAAACAGGAUUAGAUACCCUGGUAGUCCACACCGUAAACGAUGAAUACUAGGUGUUAGGAGGUUUCCGCCUCUUAGUGCCGAAGCUAACGCAUUAAGUAUUCCGCCUGGGGAGUACGACCGCAAGGUUGAAACUCAAAGGAAUUGACGGGGACCCGCACAAGCGGUGGAGCAUGUGGUUUAAUUCGAAGCAACGCGAAGAACCUUACCAGGUCUUGACAUCCUUUGAAGCUUUUAGAGAUAGAAGUGUUCUCUUCGGAGACAAAGUGACAGGUGGUGCAUGGUCGUCGUCAGCUCGUGUCGUGAGAUGUUGGGUUAAGUCCCGCAACGAGCGCAACCCUUAUUGUUAGUUGCCAGCAUUCAGUUGGGCACUCUAGCGAGACUGCCGGUGACAAACCGGAGGAAGGCGGGGACGACGUCAGAUCAUCAUGCCCCUUAUGACCUGGGCUACACACGUGCUACAAUGGCGUAUACAACGAGUUGCCAACCUGCGAAGGUGAGCUAAUCUCUUAAAGUACGUCUCAGUUCGGACUGCAGUCUGCAACUCGACUGCACGAAGUCGGAAUCGCUAGUAAUCGCGGAUCAGCACGCCGCGGUGAAUACGUUCCCGGGUCUUGUACACACCGCCCGUCACACCAUGGGAGUUUGUAAUGCCCAAA
rnacentral:rRNA from 1 species